UGUGUAUGUGUGGCAAAAAUCUGCAUGUCCAAUUAGCCUCUCCAUGGUGAGCGUUCAGCACCUCCAUGCAGACCCAAUCUAAUACACUGCCCCUCCCCCAUUCUAAUACACUGCCCACAAAUCCAAGACAUUGCCCCCAAGUCUAAUACCCCCCUCCCACCACUGCCCGCCUACCUCCCCCAAAUUAAUACACUCCCCAAUUUAGCACAUUGGCCCGCUCCCUCACCCAAAUAAAUACAAAGCCCCCUCCCUAAAAUUAAUACACUGCCCUCCCUAACCCAAUUUAACACACUACACAGGAAGGUCCCCCAAGCACCUCUUUCACCUCCUUAAGAUGAGAGUCACCCAUCCUCCAGUCCCAGCCCUGCUUUUCUUUGCUCAAGCAGGCCAGAUGCUCCUCUGGCACUACAGGCAGGAGGGAAAGGGGAAUGGCUGGCCUGCGGGAGCAAGCAAUCAGCCAUGGGAGAGAAGACAAGAAUUAGAC